rnacentral:rRNA from 1 species
AUGGACGAAGGCACGCAUCGGUGUUGCCAGCAUCGGGCAUGCAUAGACGAGGACCUGCACAAGUUGUACGCCAUGUUGGAGGAGUCGGAGAGGCCAGCAGAGAAGGACUCGACGACGGUUGCGGUGUCAAUCAACAUGGAGCCGAUGUCGCCUACGGUUGUCGGAGUAGACGAAGUGGUCGGGGUAGAUGACGGCGACGCUGGCGACGGGCCGGUGCUGGACGAAGACGAAGGAGGUGGCGGGCGGAGGCUACGUGGUCCUCCGCCGCCGCCCCGUCCCUCGCCGCAGCCACGACGUCACGGCCUGCUCCUCGUGGUGGCUGCGCCGGUGCUCUGCGCCGCGCAGAGCCCCAUCUCACAGCCGCUGCCGGCCGGCGCGCCCAUCACGUCCCCGCUCCUCCGCCUCGACGCCGACUCUCUCAACCCUCUCUCCAACCCUAACCCUCUCCCUCCCUCAGAUCUCAAUCCACCACCGUCUCUAUCCCUAUCCCCGCAUAGCCCAACCCAAUCCACCGCCAUCCUCUACCCAGUUCCCUCCCCGUUCCGGCGAGCCCGCUAUGAACCGUCUGCGAGCGGCAGCGCAGCGGGAGCAACACGGGAUUCACCUCCCCGGGCCGUGUCUCCCUCUUCCACCACCGCUCCUCCUCCACCUCUUUCGCGGCCUCCCUCCCGGGCAUCGCCCGACAGCAGCCUCGACAGGGACGACCUGGACCCGAACCCGGUUGUGGACACCACGGAGGCCCUCGCCAAGGUCGACCUCUCCAACGACCCGGACGCCACCGCCACCGCCAAGUCCGGCUCCAGCAAGCCCCGUUAG